rnacentral:lncRNA from 1 species
CGCAACAAUGACAGAAUUUAGAAAACCAUCAAAAUAGUAUGAUUCUCCGUAUGUGAUUGGAAGAGUCAACUUGAACACUUUAAACUGAUCUGAACAAACUGCACGAGGCAUUGCAAAUGUUUACUCGGUGUUGUAUUGAUUCUUGACUGGCUGUUAAUUUUAUACAAGCUAAAGACGACCUUAUUUUGAAUAUAAUUUUGAAAGAGUCAGACCGCUAUUAACUGGUUAUGCACAAGGCAUUUUAGAUUUGCAAGCGGUAAG